rnacentral:rRNA from 1 species
ACGUAGGGGGCAAGCGUUGUUCGGAAUUACUGGGCGUAAAGGGCAUGUAGGCGGCCUUGUAAGCUUGGCGUGAAAGUCCACGGCUUAACCGUGGGAUUGCGUUGAGAACUGCGAGGCUUGAGUGACGGAGAGGGAGCUAGAAUUCCUGGUGUAGGAGUGGAAUCUGUAGAGAUCAGGAAGAAUACCAAUGGCGAAGGCAAGCUCCAGGCCGAUGACGGACGCUAAGGUGAGCAAGUGGGGCGAAGAAACAG